rnacentral:rRNA from 1 species
AGGACGAACGCUGGCGGCGUGCUUAACACAUGCAAGUCGAGCGGUGAUCCUCCUUCGGGAGGUGAUCAGCGGCGAACGGGUGAGUAACACGUGGGCAACCUGCCCCUCACACUGGGAUAACCUCGGGAAACCGGGGCUAAUACCGGAUACGACCUCGAGCGGCAUCUCUUGAGGUGGAAAGCUCCGACGGUGAGGGAUGGGCCCGCGGCCUAUCAGCUUGUUGGUGGGGUAAUGGCCUACCAAGGCGACGACGGGU